CUUGGCACAGAGGGAAAAAAACAACGCGCCUCUAUUGUUGAGGGUGGCUUGUACCUGUGCCGCCAAGUGCGGCGGAGCUGGAAAUCGCCGGCUGGUCGUGCGGGAGGGGACGGAGUGCAGGAUUGGACCCGGCGCUUGGGGGUUAUGAGGGGAACACGUUAUUCUGUCUGGGGACGGGGGUCUCUGCCCCAGCCCUGGGGGUCCCCGCCGCAGCGGCCGGGUCGGUGCGUGGGGCGGCCACGCCGCUUCUCCCUUCUUUUCCCCGGGAUUUGAGGAGGGGGUGCGGAGGCCCUGGGGUCCGGCCGUGCGGGGAGGAGGAGGAAGGCGGCAGGGCAGAAAGGCUCGGCCAAAGCCCCCUCCAGCCCGGCAGCAGCGGAACGGUCGGAUCCCGCUGCUGGCUCCGCACCGGAUCGCAGAAACGCUCCUCGUAGUAGCAAAACCAACAACAACAACAAAACCAAACCUGCUACAGUACAAGGGCAUCGGCGAGGAAGUGGAGGCGGUUUUGUGUGUGCCUUUGAGUAGGGGUGUUUGUGCAAAGAGCGAGUAUCAAAAUAAGAAAAUACAGAGAGAAAAGGGGGAAAGAAAAGGGAAAUAAGGAGAGAAGGAACACAGAAGGAAAGAGAGAAAGUGUGUGAAAAAAAUAAACAGAAAAAAAGAAAGGAAAGGGGAGAGAAGGGGUGCGAGUGAGGAAAAAUAAAUUAAAGGAAACGAAAAAAAAAGGAACGAAAGAACGAGAAAUAGAAGGAAAAACGGAAGAAAAACGAAGAAAAAAUAAGAGAAGGAAAAAAGAAAA